rnacentral:rRNA from 1 species
GGAAUUUUCCGCAAUGGGCGAAAGCCUGACGGAGCAACGCCGCGUGAGGGAUGAAGGCCUCUGGGCUGUAAACCUCUUUUAUCAAGGAAGAAGAUCUGACGGUACUUGAUGAAUAAGCCACGGCUAAUUCCGUGCCAGCAGCCGCGGUAAUACGGGAGUGGCAAGCGUUAUCCGGAAUUAUUGGGCGUAGAGCGUCCGCAGGCGGUCUGUCAAGUCUGCUGUUAAAGCGUGGAGCUUAACUCCAUUUCGGCAGUGGAAACUGACAGACUAGAGUGUGGUAGGAGCAGAGGGAAUUCCCGGUGUAGCGGUGAAAUGCGUAGAUAUCGGGAAGAACACCAGUGGCGAAGGCGCUCUGCUGGGCCAUAACUGACGCUCAUGGACGAAAGCCAGGGGAGCGAAAGGGAUUAGAUACCCCAGUAGUC